rnacentral:rRNA from 1 species
CGGAGGCAAAGAAACCAACAGGGAUUGCCAUAGUAACGGCGAGUGAAGCGGCAACAGAUCAAAUUUGAAAUGUGUCGCAAGCGUGAGUUGUAAUUUGUAGCGGAUGUUUUGGGUGACGUGCCUUCCGAGUUCCCGGAACGGGACGCCAUAGAGGGUGAGAGCCCCGUACGGUUGGAUGCCUAGCGUAAGUGAAAUUCGUUGGACGAGUUGAGUAGUUUGGGAAUGUUGCUGUAAAUGGGAGGUAUACGUUUUAUAAAAAUAAAUACCGGCCAGAGACCGAUAGCACACAAGUAGAGUGAUAGAAAGAUGAAAAGCACUUUGAAAAGAGGGUUAAAAAGUACGUGAAAUAAAGAAAGGGAAGCGUUCAUGACCAGAAUUGGGCAGGUUGAUCAUCCGUGGUUCUGGGUGGGUGCACUCUGCCUGCCCAGGCCAGCAUCAGUUCGCCCCGGGGGAUAAAGGUUAUGGGAAUGUGGCUCCGUCGGGAGUGUUAUACCCCAGUGCGUAAUACCGCGGGGUGGAGAGAGGUGCGCGC